AGAAUCAACGCUGGCGGCGUGCCUAACACAUGCAAGUCGAACGAGAAAGUGGAGCAAUCCAUGAGUAAAGUGGCGCACGGGUGAGUAACACGUGACUAACCUACCCUCGAGUGGGGAAUAACCUCGGGAAACCGGGGCUAACACCGCAUAACAUCUACGGAUCAAAUGCGUAAGCAGCUUGAGGAGGGGGUCGCGGCUGAUUAGCUAGUUGGCGGGGUAAUGGCCCACCAAGGCAGUGAUCAGUA
rnacentral:rRNA from 1 species